CACGUAGGGCGCAAGCGUUUGUCCGGAAUUAUUGGGCGUAAAGAGCUCGUAGGCGGCUUGUCGCGUCGAAUGUGAAAACCCACGGCUCAACUGUGGGCGUGCGGGCGAUACGGGCAGACUGGAGUACUGCAGGGGAGACUGGAAUUCCUGGUGUAGCGGUGGAAUGCGCAGAUAUCAGGAGGAACACCGGUGGCGAAGGCGGGUCUCUGGGCAGUAACUGACGCUGAGGAGCGAAAGCGUGGGGAGCGAACAGG
rnacentral:rRNA from 1 species